rnacentral:rRNA from 1 species
CGGAGGCAGCAGUGGGGAAUCUUGCACAAUGGGCGAAAGCCUGAUGCAGCGACGUCGCGUGACUGAUGAAGUCCUUCGGGAUGUAAAGGUCUUUUUUGCGGGAAGAAGGAUGUGACGGUACCGCAAGAAUAAGCCCCGGCUAACUACGUGCCAGCAGCCGCGGUAAUACGUAGGGGGCGAGCGUUGUCCGAAUUUACUGGGCGUAAAGCGCGCGUAGGCGGAUUUUUAAGUUGGGGGUGAAAUCCCGGGGCUCAACCCCGGAACUGCCUCCAAAACUGGAAGUCUUGAGGUAUGGAGAGGGAAGUGGAAUUCCUGGUGUAGCGGUGAAAUGCGUAGAUAUCAGGAGGAACACCCGUGGCGAAGGCGGCUUCCUGGCCAUAUCCUGACGCUGAGGUGCGAAAGCUAGGGGAGCGAACGGGAUUAGAUACCCCGGUAGU